AACAGCAAACGAUUUGAGCAACUCGAAUUUUCGAGUUCCUUUAAAAUUGACCAAAUAAUUUUGUCGAACGAGGGAAACUCGCGAGAAAGUUUCGCCACCCGUGAAGUUGUCGAUGCGAUGAAUUCGGAAAACGUGCGAGUGGAUCACUCAAGAUGAGAACACGCGGUCAUAAUUCUGUCUGGCGUUUCUCGUUAAGGUGACGACCGCGAGCGUAUUCGAUUUUCGAUCGCUCGCAGUCUCGCCGGAGUAACGAAAUUAACGGCAAUUAACGCGCCUCUUCACUUCGAUCCGCAAUUUCUUCGUCUGCAUUCCGCCGUCGUAUUCGCUAAUCGCACGUUCGUUAACGUUCAGCUCGAAUGCGAGUGACGAAAGAACCGGCACUUGUCACACGCGUUUCAAAUGGCGUUCGAGCGUUGGCGCGACUCCAUUAAAAUGAAUCAAAAAUGACAAAUCUCGCACAACUCAUAUCCAGGAGAAAAAAAUAGUUUAGCGAUAAUUGAAAUAAUAAUUGCUCGAGCAUUUUUAAUUCGCGUACGGAAGAAAACGCCGGAAGAUAAAUUCACACUUAAAUAAAAUCGACGUUAAUCAUCAUAUCAUUCUAACGUACGUUACUUCAGCAUGAUUGAGCAAUGCACGGCGUCAGCGUAUCAAUGGGAAAUUGCCGUUCAUUAAUAUAUUUAAAGGUAAUCGCGUAAUUCCGAAUCGCAGAUCUUAAUUUGCCACGAUGAUUGCCACGAUACAUUCUUCGCUCCACAUGGAGCGGCAAAACCGUUAACGUUUUACGAGAUAACUGUGCAAAUCGCCGAUACGACAUUGUCAUCAUUGCGUAAGCACCACGUUCGUCUACCACUAAAUAUGUAAAUUACGCCUUGCACAAGCCGCCUGUAGCGGCCGAUCGUUCACGGCGACUAGUUUUCAGACACACGGAACCCGGCUAACAGACGCCUGCUCCGUGACAUAGGCAGUCUCUUUUUGUUACAGCUCGCCGUUUUCAGUUUGCUGAUGUUUGCACGCUUACCGCACCUUGGCAGGGGUUCGGCAUCGCGCGGCGAGGAUCGUUCCGUCUAUGAUUGACGAGAAGAUAGUAGGUCUGUCUUAUUAUAAAACAAUCGUGAAUCGAUAAGAUCGUGUGGACAUUUACAUAUAUCGUGAUCGUCUGAAUGAUCGCGAUUGUUGGAGUUAAUAAACUUUUCAACCUUUGAAGAUGUAAUCGACGGGGAAUGUAGCCAAAAUAUAUAGGCACAAGCAUAAGAACAUGCGUCAUCGGCGUAUAAAGCUUUCGUUUGAGUUUUCGGAUGUAGACGAAAAGAUUUGGUAACAAUUUAACAAUAUGUAGUAGCGCGUAAAAGUCAUGUGGAUAAUACUAAACUCUUGAGCCUGCUAAAGGUAGUGAGUAUGAAUAGCUACUGAUUAUGAUCAGAGAGGGCUUGUUGCUUCGAAGUGUCUGAAGAAAAGUGCACGAGUGUGUGAUAUGAUGACAAUACCCACGCGAAUGCUAAAGGCUAAAAUUCAUUUUCAUCGUGAUAUUAUACAGGCAAUAUUACAUAAUAUAAAGCGU